rnacentral:rRNA from 1 species
UUUCGGGGGUACUCGAGCGGCGAACGGGUGAGUAACACGUGAGUAAUCUGCCCUUGGCUUUGGGAUAACCACCGGAAACGGUGGCUAAUACCGGAUACGACAACUCCAGGCAUCUGGUGGUUGUGGAAAGUUUUUUCGGCCAGGGAUGUGCUCGCGGCCUAUCAGCUUGUUGGUGGGGUAAUGGCCUACCAAGGCUUCGACGGGUAGCCGGCCUGAGAGGGUGACCGGCCACACUGGGACUGAGACACGGCCCAGACUCCUACGGGAGGCAGCAGUGGGGAAUAUUGGACAAUGGGCGAAAGCCUGAUCCAGCAACGCCGCGUGAGGGAUGACGGCCUUCGGGUUGUAAACCUCUUUCAGUACCGACGAAGCGCCGAUGAUGGUGGUGACGGUAGGUACAGAAGAAGCACCGGCCAACUACGUGCCAGCAGCCGCGGUAAUACGUAGGGUGCGAGCGUUGUCCGGAAUUAUUGGGCGUAAAGGGCUCGUAGGCGGUUUGUCGCGUCGGGAGUGAAAACACCGGGCUUAACUCGGUGCUUGCUUCCGAUACGGGCAGACUAGAGGCAUGCAGGGGAGAACGGAAUUCCUGGUGUAGCGGUGAAAUGCGCAGAUAUCAGGAGGAACACCGGUGGCGAAGGCGGUUCUC